UAAACUCUUGAUGCAUUACCAUCCUUGAAAGCUUGAUUACCAUACCAUGUUACCUGUUUAAUAAAACCUAGUGAUGCUUAGUCACGCCGAUAGAUUAAGAAAAAUGUUUUUGAUCUAUGACUCAUGUUUUUAGAAAAGAAAAAUGAGUAUGGGAUAAUGAAGGCAUCAAGACAUUGAUGAGUUCAUUAUCUAGGCAUGGCCCCUCUGCCAGGCACCAAAGUUAUGAAAUAGUUUUAGACGAGACCAGACGGUGAGCAUGAAAAGUCGCCCGUCUCUGUUGAUUAAGGACUGUACCGAUUGUUGGCCUGCUGAUCUAAGACCUUUUAUCUGGCCACAUACCUCGUCAUGGGCAAGCCUGAACUCAAUUAUUCCCUAUGUAAAAAGACAAUCACGCACUGGGAGCUGACUGGAGAGAUGGUGAGAGUAGCGUGUACCCCCUAGCAAGAGGCUGGAUGGGGAGUACUGUGCUCUCGGGUGGCACGGAC
rnacentral:lncRNA from 1 species